rnacentral:rRNA from 1 species
AUUGAACGCUGGCGGCAGGCCUAACACAUGCAAGUCGAGCGGAUGAGAAGAGCUUGCUCUUCGAUUCAGCGGCGGACGGGUGAGUAAUGCCUAGGAAUCUGCCUAGUAGUGGGGGACAACGUUUCGAAAGGAACGCUAAUACCGCAUACGUCCUACGGGAGAAAGUGGGGGAUCUUCGGACCUCACGCUAUUAGAUGAGCCUAGGUCGGAUUAGCUAGUUGGUAGGGUAAAGGCCUACCAAGGCGACGAUCCGUAACUGGUCUGAGAGGAUGAUCAGUCACACUGGAACUGAGACACGGUCCAGACUCCUACGGGAGGCAGCAGUGGGGAAUAUUGGACAAUGGGCGAAAGCCUGAUCCAGCCAUGCCGCGUGUGUGAAGAAGGCCUUCGGGUCGUAAAGCACUUUAAGUUGGGAGGAAGGGCUCAUAGCGAAUACCUGUGAGUUUUGACGUUACCAACAGAAUAAGCACCGGCUAACUUCGUGCCAGCCGCCGCAGUAA